rnacentral:rRNA from 1 species
UGCCAGCCGCCGCGGUAAUACGGAGGGGGUUAGCGUUGUUCGGAAUUACUGGGCGUAAAGCGCACGUAGGCGGACUGUUAAGUUAGAGGUGAAAUCCCGGGGCUCAACCUCGGAACUGCCUUUGAUACUGGAAGUCUUGAGUUCGAGAGAGGUGAGUGGAAUACCGAGUGUAGAGGUGAAAUUCGUAGAUAUUCGGUGGAACACCAGUGGCGAAGGCGGCUCACUGGCUCGAUACUGACGCUGAGGUGCGAAAGCGUGGGGAGCAAACAGGAUUAGAUA